AGUUAGAAGUAGGCGUGUUAUCAGAACUUAUUAACAUUAGUGUCACUAGAGUUGGUAUUCAACCCCCCACUGCUAAAUUUGACUGGCUAAAA
rnacentral:Y_RNA from 1 species